rnacentral:rRNA from 1 species
UACGAAGGGGGGCUAGCGUUGCUCGGAAUCACUGGGCGUAAAGCGCACGUAGGCGGAUUGUUAAGUCGGGGGUGAAAUCCUGGAGCUCAACUCCAGAACUGCCUUCGAUACUGGCGAUCUCGAGUUCGGGAGAGGUGAGUGGAACUGCGAGUGUAGAGGUGAAAUUCGUAGAUAUUCGGCAAGAACACCAGUGGCGAAGGCGGCUCACUGGCCCGAUACUGACGCUGAGGUGCGAAAGCGUGGGGAGCAAACAGG